GACAGGAGGGGUGCAAAACGUUGUUCGGAAUUACUGGGCGUAAAGCGCGUGUAGGCGGCCAUCUAAGUCGGGCGUGAAAUCCCACGGCUCAACCGUGGAAGUGCACUCGAAACUGGAUGGCUAGAGUCCUGGAGAGGAAGGUGGAAUGCUUGGUGUAGAGGUGAAAUUCGUAGAUAUCAAGCGGAACACCGGUGGCGAAGGCGG
rnacentral:rRNA from 1 species